rnacentral:lncRNA from 1 species
AUGGGACUCUAUUUGCUGCCAGAUUGGGAAUUCUAAGGGUAUAAAUAUGUAUUAAUAAAUAUUAUGACCUUUAAAAUUUUAAAACAAAUGCAAAACCUGCAGCAUUUUUCGGGAAUUGAUUCUCUGUACAUAAAAAUGAGAUUAGUCAAUCCUUUUGGUGUCUGUUUAGCAUACAAUGAGUACAUCCAGAUAGUUAAGACCCUUGGAAUCAAGAUUAAGAGAACCAUCAAUUAAGGAGGUCCGGUACCCCCCCCGCCCCCCCUCCCCCGCCUUUUUAAUGUUUUAUUAUUAUUAUUUUUUGAGAGUCUCACUCUGACGCCCAGGCUGGAGUGCAGUGGGGCGAUCUCAGCUCACUGCUUUCCCCUUUCUUGUUGGCAGGCAGUGCGCACCUCUCCAGGGAAAUUUACUCCAGUGCUUCAUCCUACCUCAUUGGACACAGCCGACCGUGUUGGUCCUGGUUCCCUCUUCAAAUGCUGGCUCCUGGAAAUAGCAUCAAAGCAAGCAGCUGAUAAGACAAAACUGGGUUGUUGCUUAUGCUAAGGGGAAGCACCACCUUGAAAGAGUCAUUGUAGAGUGGAGGUCGGGAGGGCAAAGUUGAGAUACUGAGGUUUUGGGGUUUGGUUUAAGGCAGGUCCUUUGAUGUCGGACUUAAUCAGGGCUGGGUAAGGAUCAUGUUAUAAUAGUUUAGGAUUGUUGGUCACAGUUUUGUAUUGGUGGUCACAGUGAAGUGAGGGCUUCAAAGACUCUUGGAGCUUUCUUUGAUGCUCCCUGUUGAAGAGCUGUGUGGUUUUAUUAAUGGAUUUUCCUGAACUCAAGGAGUAAGGUUAUUUGCAACUUUUGUGUUUCUGGGCAAGCAUUUCCUGGAAUAAUAAAGUCACAAUAAUAGAGUCAUGUUAUUUUGCUUCAGCAAUUGUGAGUCGGAGUACUCUGCUAUUUGUAUCCAGCCAGGAUGGUCUCUAGCUCCUCCUGACCUCGUGAUCUGCCCGCCUUGGCCUCCCAAAGUGCUGGGAUUACAGGCGUGAGCCACUGCGUCCGGCUGCUUUGCUCCCACUUAUACAUGAGAACAUGCUUAAGAGGCUAAGGCAGGUAGAUCAC